CAGCCGCGGUAAUACGUAGGGCGCGAGCGUAUCUGGAAUUAUUGGGCGUAAAGAGCUCGUAGGCGGUUUGUCGCGUCUGCCGUGAAAGUCCGGGGCUCAACUCAGGAUCUGCGGUGGGUACGGGCAGACUAGAGUGAUGUAGGGGAGACUGGAAUUCCUGGUGUAGCGGUGAAAUGCGCAGAUAUCAGGAGGAACACCGAUGGCGAAGGCAGGUCUCUGGGCAUUAACUGACGCUGAGGAGCGAAAGCAUGGGGAGCGAACAGGAUUAGAUACCCUGGUAGUCCAUGCCGUAAACGUUGGGCACUAGGUGUGGGGGACAUUCCACGUUUUCCGCGCUGUAGCUAACGCAUUAAGUGCCCCGCCUGGGGAGUACGGCCGCAAGGCUAAAACUCAAAGGAAUUGACGGGGGCCCGCACAAGCGGCGGAGCGUGCGGAUUAUUUCGAUGCAACGCGAAGAACCUUACCAAGGCUUGACAUGAACCGGAAACGCCUGGAAACAGGUGCCCCACUUGUGGUCGGUUUACAGGUGGUGCAUGGUGGUCGUCAGCUCGUGUCGUGAGAUGUUGGGUUAAGUCCCGCAACGAGCGCAACCCUCCUUCUAUGUUGCCAGCACGUGAUGGUGGGGACUCAUAGGAGACAGCCGGGGUCAACUCGGAGGAAGGUGGGGAGGACGUCAAAUCAUCAUGCCCCUUAUGUCUUGGGCUUCACGCAUGCUACAAUGGCCGGUACAAAGGGUUGCGAUACUUUGAGGUGGAGCUAAUC
rnacentral:rRNA from 1 species